rnacentral:rRNA from 1 species
AGUGAACGCUGGCGGUAGGCCUAACACAUGCAAGUCGAACGGCAGCACAGUAAGAGCGUGCUCUUACGGGUGGCGAAUGGCGGACGGGUGAGGAAUAUAUCGGAAUCUACUUUUUCGUGGGGGAUAACGUAGGGAAACUUACGCUAAUACCGCAUACGACCUACGGUUGAAAGCAUGGGAUCGUCGGACCUUGCGCGAUUGAAUGAGCCGAUGUCGGAUUAGAUAGUUGGCGGGGUAAAGGCCUAGCAAGUCGCCGAUCCGUAGCUGGUCGGAGAGGAUGGUCGGCGGCACUGGAAGUUAGACACGGUCAAGGCUACUACGGGAGGGAGCAGUGGGGUAUAUUGGACAAUAGGCGGAAGCCCGAUACAGUGAGACCGCGUGGGAGGAGAAGGCCUUGGGGUUGUAAAGCCGUUUUGUUGGGAAAGAAAAGCAGCAGGUUAAUACGAAGCGGUUCUGACGGUAACCAAUGAAUAAGCACCGGCUAACUUCGUG